UGGGGAAUAUUGGACAAUGGGGGCAACCCUGAUCCAGCGAUGCCGCGUGAGUGAAGAAGGCCUUCGGGUCGUAAAGCUCUUUAGGCCGGGAAGAAGGGCAUGCGAGGAAAUGCGCGUGUUUUGACGGUACCGGCAGAAUAAGCACCGGCAAACUCUGUGCCAGCAGCCGCGGUAAUACAGAGGGUGCGAGCGUUAAUCGGAAUUACUGGGUGUAAAGGGCGCGUAGGCGGCAUGAUGUGUGUGAUGUGAAAGCCCCGGGCUUAACCUGGGAAGUGCAUCGCAAACUGUCAGGCUGGAGUACAUGAGAGGGUGGCGGAAUUUCCGGUGUAGCGGUGAAAUGCGUAGAGAUCGGAAGGAACGUCAAUGGCGAAGGCAGCCACCUGGCAUGAUACUGACGCUGAGGCGCGAAAGCGUGGGGAGCGAACAGGAUUAGAUACCCCCGUAGUCC
rnacentral:rRNA from 1 species